rnacentral:rRNA from 1 species
CAAUAGUGUAUAUUAAAUUUGUUGCAGUUAAAAAGCUCGUAGUUGAAACGAUACGUCUGUUCAGCUGUUCUUUUCAGAGCGCAGAGCAGGCGCGGGCUUUUCGAAAGCCUCUGUUACUUUGAGAAAAUUUGAGUGUUUCAGGCGGGCCAGAGCUGGAAUAGUGUACCAUGGAAUAACGCAGUGGUUGUCCCUCUCUUUCUUCGGUUUUGGACGGGACGAUACGUGGUUGAUAGGAACAGUCGGGGGCUUUCGUAUUGAACAGUCAGAGGUGAAAUUCUUAGAUUUGUUCAAGACGAACUAAUGCGAAAGCAUCAGCCAAGGAUGUUUUCAUUA